GGCGACCGGCGCACGGGUGCGUAACGCGUAUGCAACCUACCCUUUACAGGAGGAUAGCCCAGGGAAACUUGGAUUAAUACUCCAUGGUUUUGAGAUUUCACCUGAUAUUUCAAAUAAAGUUUCGACGGUAAAGGAUGGGCAUGCGUGACAUUAGCUAGAUGGUGAGGUAACGGCUCACCAUGGCGACGAUGUCUAGGGGUUCUGAGAGGAUUAUCCCCCACACUGGUACUGAGACACGGACCAGACUCC
rnacentral:rRNA from 1 species